UGGGGAAUUUUGGACAAUGGGCGAAAGCCUGAUCCAGCAAUGCCGCGUGUGUGAAGAAGGCCUUCGGGUUGUAAAGCACUUUUGUCCGGAAAGAAAUCCUUGGCUCUAAUACAGUCGGGGGAUGACGGUACCGGAAGAAUAAGCACCGGCUAACUACGUGCCAGCAGCCGCGGUAAUACGUAGGGUGCAAGCGUUAAUCGGAAUUACUGGGCGUAAAGCGUGCGCAGGCGGUUUGCUAAGACCGAUGUGAAAUCCCCGGGCUCAACCUGGGAACUGCAUUGGUGACUGGCAGGCUAGAGUAUGGCAGAGGGGGGUAGAAUUCCACGUGUAGCAGUGAAAUGCGUAGAGAUGUGGAGGAAUACCGAUGGCGAAGGCAGCCCCCUGGGCCAAAUACUGACGCUCAUGCACGAAAAGCGUGGGGAGCAAAACAGGAUUAGAUACCCUGGUAGUCCACGCCCUAAAACGAUGUCAACUAGUUGUUGGGGAUUCAUUUCCUUAGUAACGUAGCUAACGCGUGAAGUUGACCGCCUGGGGAGUACGGUCGCAAGAUUAAAAACUUAAAUGAAUUGACGGGGUCAUAGCUGUUUCCU
rnacentral:rRNA from 1 species